GACGAACGCUGGCGGCGUGCUUAACACAUGCAAGUCGAACGGAAAGGCCCUGCUUUCGUGGUGUGCUGGAGGGGCGAACGGGGGAGUAAGACGAGAGUAACGUGACCUAGAUUUUCGGAAAACUUCAGGAAACGGGGGCUAAUACCGGAAAGGAUCUCCUGCACCAGGGAGGGGGGGGGAAAGUUGCGGCGGGUGGGGAUGGACUCGCGGCUGAUCAGCUUGCUGGUGGGGUAGGGGCUGGCGAAGGCUUGGACGGAUAGCCGGCCGGGGAGGGUGACCGGCGACAUUGGGCCUGCGCUACGGCGCAGCCUCCUACGGGAGGCAGCAGUGGGGAGUCUUGCCCAGUGGGAGCGAGCCUGAGGCGGCGACGCCGCGUUUGGGAUGCCCGCCUUCUGGUUGUAAACCGCUUUCGCCUUUGACGCCGCGUUAGUGACGGUAAUGGGUGAAGAAGCACCGGCUAACUACGUG
rnacentral:rRNA from 1 species